GACGGAGGAUGCAAGCGUUAUCCGGAAUGAUUGGGCGGAAAGCGUCCGCAGGUGGCAGUUCAAGUCUGCUGUCAAAGACCGGGGCUUAACUUCGGAAAGGCAGUGGAAACUGAACAGCUAGAGUAUGGUAGGGGCAGAGGGAAUUCCUGGUGUAGCGGUGAAAUGCGUAGAGAUCAGGAGGAACACCGGUGGCGAAGGCGGGUCUCUGGGCCGUAACUGACGCUGAGGAGCGAAAGCGUGGGGAGCGAACAGG
rnacentral:rRNA from 1 species